UACGUAGGGGGCGAGCGUUAUCCGGAUUUACUGGGCGUAAAGCGCGUUAAGGCGGUUGGCAAAGUUGGUUGUGAAAUCUCAGGGCUCAACCCUGAAAUUGCGACCAAUACUGGUCGACUAGAGUGCAAGAGAGGAAGGUGGAAUUCCCGGUGUAGUAGUGAAAUGCGUAGAUAUCGGGAGGAACACCAGUGGCGAAGGCGGCCUCUGGCUUGUAACUGACGCUGUAGCGCGAAAGCGUGGGGAGCGAACCGGG
rnacentral:rRNA from 1 species